rnacentral:rRNA from 1 species
GACGAACGCUGGCGGCGUGCCUAAUACAUGCAAGUCGAACGAGAGCGCCCGGUGCUUGCACUGGUCAAUCUAGUGGCGAACGGGUGAGUAACACGUGGGUAACCUGCCCAUCAGAGGGGGAUAACAUCCGGAAACGGAUGCUAAAACCGCAUAGGUCUUCGAACCGCAUGGUUUGAAGAGGAAAAGAGGCGCAAGCUUCUGCUGAUGGAUGGACCCGCGGUGCAUUAGCUAGUUGGUGAGGUAACGGCUCACCAAGGCCGUGAUGCAUAGCCGACCUGAGAGGGUGAUCGGCCACAUUGGGACUGAGACACGGCCCAAACUCCUACGGGAGGCAGCAGUAGGGAAUCUUCCGCAAUGGACGCAAGUCUGACGGAGCAACGCCGCGUGAGUGAAGAAGGUGUUCGGAUCGUAAAACUCUGUUGUUAGAGAAGAACAAGUGCUAGAGUAACUGUUAGCGCCUUGACGGUAUCUAAACAGAAAGCCACGGCUAACUACGUG